rnacentral:rRNA from 1 species
AGACAGCAGUAGCCACGGGAAUACAGAGGGUGCAAGCGUUAAUCGGAAUUACUGGGCGUAAAGCGCGCGUAGGUGGUUUGUUAAGUUGGAUGUGAAAUCCCCGGGCUCAACCUGGGAACUGCAUCCAAAACUGGCAAGCUAGAGUAUGGUAGAGGGUGGUGGAAUUUCCUGUGUAGCGGUGAAAUGCGUAGAUAUAGGAAGGAACACCAGUGGCGAAUGCGACCACCUGGACUGAUACUGACACUGAGGUGCGAAAGCGUGGGGAGCAAACAGGAUUAGAUACCCCCGUAGUCCCUGUCUCUUAUAU